CUCGCAAUGGCGGCCCGCCUAUACUGCAGUCGAGCGGGGUUACUUAGAAGCUUGCUUCUAAUUAACCUAGCGGCGGACGGGUGAGUAACACGUAGGCAACCUGCCCACAAGACAGGGAUAACUACCGGAAACGGUAGCUAAUACCCGAUACAUCCUUUUCCUGCAUGGGAGAAGGAGGAAAGGCGGAGCAAUCUGUCACUUGUGGAUGGGCCUGCGGCGCAUUAGCUAGUUGGUGGGGUAAUGGCCUACCAAGGCGACGAUGCGUAGCCGACCUGAGAGGGUGAUCGGCCACACUGGGACUGAGACACGGCCCAGACUCCUACGGGAGGCAGCAGUAGGGAAUCUUCCGCAAUGGGCGAAAGCCUGACGGAGCAACGCCGCGUGAGUGAUGAAGGUUUUCGGAUCGUAAAGCUCUGUUGCCAGGGAAGAACGUCUUGUACAGUAACUGCUAUAAGAGUGACGGUACCUGAGAACAAAGCCCCGGCUAACUACGUGCCAGCAGCCGCGGUAAUACGUACGGGGCACCCGUUCUCCGGAAUUAUUGCGCCUAAAGCGCGCGCACGCCGCUCUUUAAGUCUGGUGUUUAAUCCCGACGCCUCAACUUCGCGUCGCACUGGAAACCGGGGGAGCCUUGACCGCACG
rnacentral:rRNA from 1 species